AUAGAUGCUCAUGACUAGUGACACCCCGAUUAGGGUUGUGUAUGGGUGUUCUUCCGCGUACUUAUGUUAUUAUUGUCAUUUCGGAGUUAUUUUAACAUGUUUAGACUGUUCUUAAAUGCUUAACUGCUAAUAAUCGGAAAUAGGAAGUGUCAGUUGGCCUUGUCUUGACGAGAGGCACCAUCAUGACCGGGUCCGUGUUUUGGGUCGUGACAGCGGCCAAAGCCCGGGCUUUUUAUACGCUCGUGGAAUGCCCUCUCCUUGAUUGUGGUAGGCAGAGCAUGCCUCUAGCGUGCUUCGGUAUUUGCGUGCUCUGGACGCUGGCCUGCGGGCUCCUCAUUCGACUUGUCUUGAAACACGGACCAAGGAGUCUGACAUAUGUGCGAGUCAACAAGUGAGUAAACGCGUAAGGCGUAAGCAAGCUGAUUGGUGGAAUCCCCCUGAGGGGUGUAUCGCUGACAGACCUUGAUAUUCUAUGAAGGGUUCGAGUGUGAGCAUACCUGUCGGGACCCGAAAGAUGGUGAACUAUACCUGAGCGGGGCGAAGCCAGAGGAAACUCUGGUGGAGGCCCGCAGCGAUACUGACGUGCAAAUCAUUCGUCUGACUUGGGUAUAGGGGCAAAAGACUAAUUGAACCGUCUACUAGCUGGUUCCCUUCGAAGUUUCCCUCAGGAUAGCUGGAGCUCGCGUGCGAGUUCCAUCGGAUAAAGCCAAUGAUUAGAGGCAUCGGGGCUGCAACGACCUCGACCUAUUCUCAAACUUUAAAUAGGUAGGAUGGUGGGGCUGUUUUGUUGAGCCUCACCACGGAAUCAAGAGCUCCAAGUGGGCUAUUUUUUUAAGCAGACUAGUGAUGCGCGAUGAAUCGAAAGCCGGGUUAAGGUGCCAAACUGUGCACUAACCUAGAUCCCACAAAGGGUGUUGGUCGAUUAAGAUUGCAGGACGAUGGUCAUAGAAGUCGAAAUCCGCUAAGGGGUGUGUUACAACUCACUUGCCGAAUCAACUAGCCCCGAAAAUAGAAGGCGCUAAAGCGCAUGAUCUACACUCGACCAUCAGGGCAAGCGCCAGGCCUUGAUGAGUAGGAGGGCGGGGCGGACUCUACAAAACCCUGGGCGUGAGCCUGUGCGGAGCGGCCGUCAGUGCAGAUCUUGGUGGUAGUAGCAAAUAUUCAAAUGAGAACUUUGAAGGCCGAAGAGGGGAAAGGUUCCAUGUGAAUGGCACAUGCACAUGGGUUAGUCGAUCCUAAGGGACGGGGGAACCCCGACAGAUAAUGCGUUUCACGCGUACUCCAAAAGGGAAUCGGGUUAAAAUUCCUGAAGUGGGACAUGGCGGUUAACGGCAACGUGAGGAAGUCUGGAGACGUUGGCGGGGGCCUCGGGAAGAGUUAUUUUUUUUGUUUAACAGCCUGCCUACCCUGGAAAUGACUCAGUCGGAGGUAGGAUCCAGCGGCUGGAAGAUCACCGCACGUCAUGUGGUGUCUGGUGCGCCCUCGAUGGCCCUUGAAAAUCUAGAGGACCGAGUGUCAUCCAUGCCCGGUCGUACUCAUAAUCGCAUCAGGUCUCUAAGGUGAACAACUUCUGGUUGAUGGAACAAUGUAGGCAAGGGAAGUUGGAAAAAUGGAUUCGUAACUUCAGGAAAAGGAUUGGCUCUAAGGGCUGGGUAUGGAGGUCCUUGUCCCGUACCCGUCAGUUGUCAGUGGACUGCUUGAGUUGUUCCCACAGCGAGAGCGGGUCGCCGCAUGCCGGCCGGGGGAUGGACUGGGAAUGGUUCCUUUAGGGGCCUCCCCGGGUGUUGAACAACCAACUCAGAACUGGUACAGACAAGGGGAAUCUGACUGUUUAAUUAAAACAAAGCAUUGCGAUGGUCCCUGCAGAUGUUUACGCAAUGUGAUUUCUGCCCAGUGCGCUGAAUGUCAAAGUAAAGAAAUUCAACCAAGCGCGGGUAAAUGGUGGGAGUAACUAUGAAUCUCUUAAGGUAGCCAAAUGCAUCAUCAUCUAAUUAGUGACGCGCAUGAAUGUAUUAACGAGAUUCCCACUGUCCUUGUCUACUAUCCAGCGAAACCACAUCCAAGGGAACGGGCUUGGCAGAAUCAACGGGGAAAGAAGACCCUAUUGAGCUUGACUCUAGUCCGACUUUGUGAAAUGACUUGAGAGGUGUAGUAUAAGUGGGAGCCGAAAGAGGAAAGUGAAAUACCACUACUUUUAAUGUUAUUUUACAUAUUCCGUGAAUCGAAAGCGGGGCAUUACCCCUCGUUUUGGACCCAAGGCUUGCCUGCAGGCCGAUCCGGGCGAAAGACAUUGUCAGGUUAGGAGUUUGGCUGGGGCGGCACAUCUAUUAAAAGAUAACGCAGGUGUACUAAGAUGAGCUCAACGAGAACAGAAAUCUCGUAUGGAACAGAAAGGUAAAAGCUCAUUUUAUUCUGAUUUCCAGUACGUAUACGAACCGUGAAACAUGGCCUAACGAUCCUUUAGACCUUCGAAAUUCAAAGGUAGAGGUGUUAGAAAAGUUACCACAGGGAUAACUGGCUUCUGGCAGCCAAGCGUUCAUAGCAACGUUACUUUUUAAUCCUUAGAUGUCGGCUCGUCCUAUCAUUGUAAAGCGGAAUUCACCAAGUGUUAGAUUGUUCACCCACCAAUAGGGAACGUGAGCUGGGUUUAGACCGUCGUGAGAUAGGUUAGUUUUACCCUACUAAUGAUAGUGUCGCAAUAGUAAUUCAACCUAGUACGAGAGGAACCAUUGAUUUGCACAAUUGGUCAUCGCGCUUGGUUGAAAAGCUAGUGAUGCAAAGCUACCGUGCGUUGGAUUAUGACUGAAUGCCUCUAAGUCAGAAUCUGGGCUAGAAGCAAUGCAUGCGCCUCUCGUCCACUUUCCGACCCGUAGUAGGGGAUUUUGGCCCUCAAGGGCACAUGUCGUUGGCUAAGUCAUCGCGUCGGAAGAGCCAUAGUAGCCGCCUUGAAGUACAAUUUCCAUCGAGCGGCGAGUAGAAUCCUUUGUAGACGACUUAAAUAUGCAAUGGGGCAUUGUAAGUGGCAGAGUGCCUUGCUGCCACGAUCCACUGAGAUUCA
rnacentral:rRNA from 1 species